rnacentral:rRNA from 1 species
UGGGGAAUAUUGCACAAUGGGCGCAAGCCUGAUGCAGCCAUGCCGCGUGUGUGAAGAAGGCCUUCGGGUUGUAAAGCACUUUCAGCGGGGAGGAAGGCGUUAAGGUUAAUAACCUUGGCGAUUGACGUUACCCGCAGAAGAAGCACCGGCUAACUCCGUGCCAGCAGCCGCGGUAAUACGGAGGGUGCAAGCGUUAAUCGGAAUUACUGGGCGUAAAGUGCACGCAGGCGGUCUGUCAAGUCGGAUGUGAAAUCCCCGGGCUCAACCUGGGAACUGCAUUCGAAACUGGCAGGCUAGAGUCUUGUAGAGGGGGGUAGAAUUCCAGGUGUAGCGGUGAAAUGCGUAGAGAUCUGGAGGAAUACCGGUGGCGAAGGCGGCCCCCUGGACAAAGACUGACGCUCAGGUGCGAAAGCGUGGGGAGCAAACAGG